CCACGCAGCCUCAGAGUUUGCUGCAGAUGAAACGGGUCUUUUACAGAAAGUGUUCGCUGCCAAAUAUUGUGGGUGCGAUUGAAGGCACUUUGGUGCCAAUAGUGGGACCAUCAGAGAACGAAGAGGUCAUCGUUUGCCGAAAAGGGUUUCAUGCUCUUAAUUGUCAGGCGGUCUCCUUACCUGAUUUGAAAUUCCUGGAUGUGGUUGCUCGUUAGCCGGGUUCAACACAUGAUGCAGCGAUAUUUGAGAAUUAUCGGUUGAAGAAUUACCUUGAACACCAUGAAGGGAUGAUCCUGCUUAAGGACAGUGGGUAUGCCCUCAAGAGGUACCUAUUGACACCCAUCGCAGUUCCUUGCAAUAAGCAAGAAAAGCAAUACAACAGACGUCAGCGGCAAGGUCGUUUGUGCAUUGAGCGGGCAUUCGGUUUACUGAAAGUGAAGUCUAGAUUCAGAUGUCUUUACAAGACUGGUGGCAUUCUACCAUUUACACCACAAAAAUGUGCCAGAAUGUUCAUGGCCUGUUGUCUGUUGCACAACCCGUGCAUGAGAAACGAACUACCAAAACCACCAGCAAUUGAUGAAGAAGAGGACCAUGAUCUGGUAGUGGCUGCGCCUGACAACAACUUUGGUGGUGUGGCAGCCCGAAAUCAAUUUGUUCAAAUACGUUGAUUGAUUGGACAAUGGUUCAUAUGUGAGAGAUAUCUAGGCAUAGGUCACUUACAGCUUGCUGUAUGGCCUGGAAAUCUCCCACAUAUGAACCAUGUCUCAUUUAUAAAUAUUUGUCAUUUGUGUGUGUGUUAUUGUGUUGAUUGAAUUGGACACUGGUUCAUAUGUGAGAGUAAUCAAGGCAUAGGUCACUUACAGCUUGCUGUAUGGCCUGGAUAUCUUUCACAUAUUGACCAUGUCUCAUAUAAUAUAGUUGUUAUUUUGUACAUAUUUUUCUGAAGCCACAUAUAAUGUGUACUAUAAUUUUAGACUGUGGUUCGUAUGUGAGAGAUAUCCAGGCAUAGGUCACUUACAGCUUGCUGUAUGGCCUGGAUAUCUCCCACAUAUGAACCAUGCCUCAUUUAUAAAUAUUUGUUGUUUUUUUAACAUGAUAUUCUUUCUUAUUAGCCACAUAUAAUGUUAACAUUGAUUUUAGACUGGGUUCAAAUGAGAAAGAUAUCUAGGCAUAGGUCACUUACAGCUUGCUGUACGGCUUGGAUAUCUCUCACAUAUUGACCAAAGUAUCGUAUGGGCUUACAUUUCAGUGGCUAGUUGUCAUUUUGUUUAUUAUUGUUACAGUUGUCAUUGUUAUAUAAUAAGUCAGUCUGUAUUUUUUUGGUCCUGUGAUGUAAAUGUCAGAGAUACCAUGGUUAGAAAUCUUGUUGGCCUGGAACCUCCAUGUCAGAGAUACCAUGGUUAGAAAUCUUGUUGGCCUGGAACCUCCAUGUCAGAGAUACCAUGGUUAGAAAUCUUGUUGGCCUGGAACCUCCAUGACAGAGAUACCAUGGUUAGAAAUCUUGUUGGCCUGGAACCUCCA